UAUUCAGAAUUAAUUCUCAUGUCAGCAGAAAACUCAACCAUCACAGUCCGUCUUGUUCGCUCUUUUGAACACCGGAACUUCAGACCUUUGGUGUAUCAUGGAGUUAACUUGGAUCAGACAGUAAAGCAGUUCAUUACUUUUGUGCGGAAGGAUGUGCCUUCAAGAACAGGACUUCCUCCUCCUUUCAAAAAUUACAAGUAUGAUACAAUGAAGAUUAUUCACCAAGCACACAAAUCUAAGACUGGUGAACUUGUAGUGAGUUUGGAAGAUGAUGACAAACUGAUUUUGAAAGAAGACAGUACGCUAAAAGCAGCUGGAGUAGAAGACGAAGUCCUUGACCUACUGGGUUGAAAGAAUUGUGACUGCUCUGAACCUUUGUGGGUCCUUUAGCUCUGCCAUAUCCCCUGUGAAUAAUUAGAGGUAUUUGAAGCAAAUGAGACCGAAUUAGCAUUCUUCUGCGAGGAGGAUUACAGAAACUACAAAGCUAAUCCUGUUUCGGCCUGGUGAAG